AUUGAACGCUGGCGGCGGGCCUAACACAUGCAAGUCGAACGAGUGGCGGACGGGUGAGUAAUGUCUGGGAAACUGCCUGAUGGAGGGGGAUAACUACUGGAAACGGUAGCUAAUACCGCAUACCCUCAGAUGUGCCCAGAAGGGAUUAGCUAGUUGGUGGGGUAACGGCUCACAAAGGCGACGAUCCCUAGCCGGUCUGAGAGGAUGACCAGCAACACUGGAAUGGAAACAGGGUCAAGACUCCGACGGGAGGAAGCAGUGGGAAAUAUUGCAAAAGGGGCGCAAGCCGGAUGCAGCCAGGCCGCGGGUAUGAAGAAGGCCUUCGGGUUGUAAAGUACUUUCAGCGGGGAGGCGUUACCCGCAGAAGAAGCACCGGCUAACUCCGUGCCAGCAGCCGCGGUAAUUC
rnacentral:rRNA from 1 species